rnacentral:precursor_RNA from 1 species
UAAUUAUCAAGCCUAAGCCUAAGCCUAAGCUUAAGCCUAAGCCUAAGCCUAAGCCUAAGCCUAAGCCUAAGCCUAAGCCUAAGCCUAAGCCUAAGCCUAAGCC